AACACAGUGGUUCGCAAUUAUCCCACUAAAAAAAACUAAGGAGCG
rnacentral:ncRNA from 2 species